rnacentral:rRNA from 1 species
GAUGAACGCUGGCGGCGUGCCUAAUACAUGCAAGUCGAGCGAACGGACGAGAAGCUUGCUUCUCUGAUGUUAGCGGCGGACGGGUGAGUAACACGUGGAUAACCUACCUAUAAGGCUGGGAUAACUUCGGGAAACCGGAGCUAAUACCGGAUAAUAUUUUGAACCGCAUGGUUCAAAAGUGAAAGACGGUCUUGCUGUCACUUAUAGAUGGAUCCGCGCUGCAUUAGCUAGUUGGUAAGGUAACGGCUCACCAAGGCAACGAUGCAUAGCCGACCUGAGAGGGUGAUCGGCCACACUGGAACUGAGACACGGUCCAGACUCCUACGGGAGGCAGCAGUAGGGAAUCUUCCGCAAUGGGCGAAAGCCUGACGGAGCAACGCCGCGUGAGUGAUGAAGGUCUUCGGAUCGUAAAACUCUGUUAUUAGGGAAGAACAUAUGUGUAAGUAACUGUGCACAUCUUGACGGUACCUAAUCAGAAAGCCACGGCUAACUACGUG